rnacentral:rRNA from 1 species
GACGAACGCUGGCGGCGUGCUUAACACAUGCAAGUCGAACGGAAAGGCCCUGCUUUUGUGGGGUGCUCGAGUGGCGAACGGGUGAGUAACACGUGAGUAACCUGCCCUUAACUUUGGGAUACCUUCAGGAAACUGGGGCUAUUACCGGAUAGAAGCUCCGGCUGCAUGUUGGGGGUUGGAAAGUUUGGGCGGUUGGGGAUGGACUCGCGGCUUAUCAGCUUGUUGGGGGGGUAGUGGCUUACCAAGGCUUUGACGGGUAGCCGGCCUGGGAGGGGGACCGGCCACAUUGGGACUGAGAUACGGCCCAGACUCCUACGGGAGGCAGCAGUGGGGAAUAUUGCACAAUGGGCGGAAGCCUGAUGCAGCAACGCCGCGUGCGGGAUGACGGCCUUCGGGUUGUAAACCGCUUUCGCCUGUGACGAAGCGUGAGUGACGGUAAUGGGUAAAGAAGCACCGGCUAACUACGUG